GCCUGGGUGGCUCAGCCGGUUAAGCAUCUGACUUCAGCUCAGGUCAUGAUCUCAUGGUUUGUGGAUUCAAGACCUACACCGGGCU
rnacentral:tRNA from 1 species